rnacentral:rRNA from 1 species
CUACGGGAGGCAGCAGUAAGGGAUAUUGCGACAAUGGGCGAAAGCCUGACGCAGCAACGCCGCGUGCGGGAGGACGGCCUUCGGGUUGUAAACCGCUUUUCGGGGGGAAGAGGAAGGACGGUACCCCCGGAAUAAGUCUCGGCUAACUACGUGCCAGCAGCCGCGGUAAAACGUAGGAGGCGAGCGUUAUCCGGAUUUACUGGGUGUAAAGCGCGUGCAGGCGGUUCAGCAAGUCGUGCGUGAAAGCGCCCGGCUCAACCGGGCGAGGUCGUGCGAAACUGCUGAACUAGAGGUAGGUAGAGGCGUGUGGAAUUCCGGGUGUAGUGGUGAAAUGCGUAGAGAUCCGGAGGAACACCAGUGGCGAAGGCGACACGCUGGGCCUGACCUGACGCUCAGACGCGAAAGCAUGGGGAGCGAACGGGAUUAGAAACCCGUGUAGUCC